AGUCUGAGCUCACUGAUUAGAAGCUUGCUUCUAUGACGUUAGCGGCGCGAUGGGGUGAGUAACACGUGGGCAACCUGCCUGUAAGACUGGGAUAACUUCGGGAAACCGAAGCUAAUACCGGAUAGGAUCUUCUCCUUCAUGGGAGAUGAUUGAAAGAUGGUUUCGGCUAUCACUUACAGAUGGGCCCGCGGUGCAUUAGCUAGUUGGUGAGGUAACGGCUCACCAAGGCAACGAUGCAUAGCCGACCUGAGAGGGUGAUCGGCCACACUGGGACUGAGACACGGCCCAGACUCCUACGGGAGGCAGCAGUAGGGAAUCUUCCGCAAUGGACGAAAGUCUGACGGAGCAACGCCGCGUGAGUGAUGAAGGCUUUCGGGUCGUAAAACUCUGUUGUUAGGGAAGAACAAGUACGAGAGUAACUGCUCGUACCUUGACGGUACCUAACCAGAAAGCCACGGCUAACUACGUGCCAGCAGCCGCGGUAAUACGUAGGUGGCAAGCGUUAUCCGGAAUUAUUGGGCGUAAAGCGCGCGCAGGCGGUUUUCUUAAGUUCUGAUGUGAAAGCCCCACGGCUUCAACCGUGGAAGGGUCAUUUGGAAAACUGGGGGAACUUUGAGUGCAGGAAGAGAAAAGGCGGAAUUUCCCACGUGGUAGCGGGUGAAAAUGCCGUAAGAGGAUUGUGGAAGGAAACACCCAGGUGGCCGAAAGGCCGGC
rnacentral:rRNA from 1 species